UUUAUUGGAGAGUUUGAUCCUGGCUCAGGAUGAACGCUGGCGGCGUGCCUAAUACAUGCAAGUCGAGCGAAUGGAUUAAGAGCUUGCUCUUAUGAAGUUAGCGGCGGACGGGUGAGUAACACGUGGGUAACCUGCCCAUAAGACUGGGAUAACUCCGGGAAACCGGGGCUAAUACCGGAUAAUAUUUUGAACUGCAUGGUUCGAAAUUGAAAGGCGGCUUCGGCUGUCACUUAUGGAUGGACCCGCGUCGCAUUAGCUAGUUGGUGAGGU
rnacentral:rRNA from 1 species